AUUGAACGCUGGCGGCAGGCCUAACACAUGCAAGUCGAGCGGUAGAGAGAAGCUUGCUUCUCUUGAGAGCGGCGGACGGGUGAGUAAUGCCUAGGAAUCUGCCUGGUAGUGGGGGAUAACGUUCGGAAACGGACGCUAAUACCGCAUACGUCCUACGGGAGAAAGCAGGGGACCUUCGGGCCUUGCGCUGUCAGAUGAGCCUAGGUCGGAUUAGCUAGUUGGUGGGGUAAUGGCUCACCAAGGCGACGAUCCGUAACUGGUCUGAGAGGAUGAUCAGUCACACUGGAACUGAGACACGGUCCAGACUCCCACGGGAGGCAGCAGUGGGGAAUAUUGGACAAUGGGCGAAAGCCUGAUCCAGCCAUGCCGCGUGUGUGAAGAAGGUCUUCGGAUUGUAAAGCACUUUAAGUUGGGAGGAAGGGCAGUAAAUUAAUACUUUGCUGUUUUGACGUUACCGACAGAAUAAGCACCGGCUAACUCUGUG
rnacentral:rRNA from 1 species